rnacentral:tRNA from 1 species
GCAUUGAUGGUUCAAAGGUAGAAUCCUUGCUUUCCGUGCAAGAGACCAAGGUUUGAUUCCUGGCCCAUGUA